UGGAAGAACACCAGUGGCGAAGGCGGCUGUCUGGUCUGUAACUGACGCUGAGGCUCGAAAGUAUGGGUAGCAAACAGGAUUAGAUACCCUGGUAGUCCAUACCGUAAACGAUGAAUGCUAAGUGUUGGAGGGUUUCCCCCUUCAGUGCUGCAGCUAACGCAUUAAGCAUUCCGCCUGGGGAGUACGACCGCAAGGCUGAAACUCAAAGGAAUUGACGGGGGCCCGCACAAGCGGUGGAGCAUGUGGUUUAAUUCGAAGCUACGCGAAGAACCUUACCAGGUCUUGACAUACUAUGCAAAUCUAAGAGAUUAGACGUUCCCUUCGGGGACAUGGAUACAGGUGGUGCAUGGUUGUCGUCAGCUCGUGUCGUGAGAUGUUGGGUUAAGUCCCGCAACGAGCGCAACCCUUAUUAUCAGUUGCCAGCAUUAAGUUGGGCACUCUGGUGAGACUGCCGGUGACAAACCGGAGGAAGGUGGGGAUGACGUCAAAUCAUCAUGCCCCUUAUGACCUGGGCUACACACGUGCUACAAUGGAUGGUACAACGAGUUGCGAACUCGCGAGAGUAAGCUAAUCUCUUAAAGCCAUUCUCAGUUCGGAUUGUAGGCUGCAACUCGCCUACAUGAAGUCGGAAUCGCUAGUAAUCGCGGAUCAGCAUGCCGCGGUGAAUACGUUCCCGGGCCUUGUACACACCGCCCGUCACACCAUGAGAGUUUGUAACACCCAAAGUCGGUGGGGUAACCUUUAGGAACCAGCCGCCUAAGGUGGGACAGAUGAUUAGGGUGAAGUCGUAACAAGGUAACCAAGGGCGAAUCG
rnacentral:rRNA from 1 species